UACGGGGGGGGCAAGCGUUGUUCGGAAUUACUGGGCGUAAAGGGCUCGUAGGCGGCCAACUAGGUCAGACGUGAAAUCCCCAGGCUCAACCUGGGAACUGCGUCUGAUACUGGAUGGCUCGAGUGUGGGAGAGGGAUGCGGAAUUCCAGGUGUAGCGGUGAAAUGCGUAGAUAUAGGAAGGAAUACCAGUGGCGAAGGCGGCCUCCUGGAUCGAUACUGACGCUGAGGCGCGAAAGCGUGGGGAGCAAACAGG
rnacentral:rRNA from 1 species